rnacentral:rRNA from 1 species
UACGUAGGGCGCAAGCGUUGUCCGGAAUUAUUGGGCGUAAAGAGCUCGUAGGCGGUCUGUCGCGUCUGCCGUGAAAACCCGAGGCUUAACCUCGGGCUGGCGGUGGAUACGGGCAGACUAGAGGUAGGUAGGGGAGAAUGGAAUUCCCGGUGUAGCGGUGAAAUGCGCAGAUAUCAGGAGGAACACCGGUGGCGAAGGCGGGUCUCUGGGCAUUAACUGACGCUGAGGAGCGAAAGCAUGGGGAGCGAACAGG